AACGAACGCUGGCGGCAGGCUUAACACAUGCAAGUCGAACGCAUCCUUCGGGAUGAGUGGCAGACGGGUGAGUAACGCGUGGGAACGUGCCCUUUAGUUUGGAAUAACCCAGGGAAACUUGGGCUAAUACCGGAUACGCCCGAAAGGGGAAGAUUUAUCGCUGAAGGAGCGGCCCGCGUCUGAUUAGCUAGUUGGUGAGGUAAUGGCUCACCAAGGCGACGAUCAGUAGCUGGUCNGAGAGGAUGAUCAGCCACACUGGGACUGAGACACGGCCCAGACUCCUACGGGAGGCAGCAGUGGGAAUAUUGGACAAUGGGCGCAAGCCUGAUCCAGCCAUGCCGCGUGAGUGAUG
rnacentral:rRNA from 1 species